rnacentral:tRNA from 1 species
GGACAGCGUAGGCUAAUCAAACCAUUAGUCUGUGGCACUAAAACUGGCGGUUAAACCCCGCCCGCUGCCC